rnacentral:rRNA from 1 species
UGGGGAAUCUUGGACAAUGGGGGCAACCCUGAUCCAGCGAUGCCGCGUGAGUGAAGAAGGCCUUUGGGUUGUAAAGCUCUUUCACCUGUGACGAUAAUGACGGUAACAGGAGAAGAAGCCCCGGCUAACUCCGUGCCAGCAGCCGCGGUAAUACAGAGGGUGCAAGCGUUAAUCGGAAUUACUGGGCGUAAAGGGCGCGUAGGCGGCAUGACAAGUCACUUGUGAAAUCUCUGGGCUUAACCCAGAACGGCCAAGUGAUACUGUCGCGCUAGAGUGCAGAAGGGGCAAUCGGAAUUCUUGGUGUAGCGGUGAAAUGCGUAGAUAUCAAGAGGAACACCUGAGGUGAAGACGGGUUGCUGGGCUGACACUGACGCUGAGGCGCGAAAGCCAGGGGAGCAAACGGGAUUAGAUACCCCCGUAGUCCCUGAGCGGGCUGGCAAGGCGCAU